GUGCCAGCAGCCGCGGUAAUACAGAGGGUGCAAGCGUUGUUCGGAAUUAUUGGGCGUAAAGGGAGUGUAGGCGGUCGUGAAAGUCUUCUGUGAAAUCUACGGGCUUAGCCUGUAACGUGCAGAGGAAACUGCUCGGCUUGAGUGUCGGAGAGGAUAGGGGAAUUCCCGGUGUAGAGGUGAAAUUCGUAGAGAUCGGGAGGAACACCAGUGGCGAAGGCGCCUGUCUGGCUGACAACUGACGCUGAGACUCGAAAGCAUGGGGAGCAAACAGGAUUAGAAACCCCCGUAGUCC
rnacentral:rRNA from 1 species